rnacentral:snRNA from 1 species
UUACUUUAAAAGUAAAAAAAAAAAUAGAAUGAUUCAAAGACAAUUAGCAUGGCCCCUUUGCAAGGAUGGCACCCAGAUUCCUAAAAAAUUCCAUUUUUUU